rnacentral:rRNA from 1 species
AUUGAACGCUGGCGGCAGGCCUAACACAUGCAAGUCGAACGAGUGGCGGACGGGUGAGUAAUGUCUGGGAAACUGCCCGAUGGAGGGGGAUAACUACUGGAAACGGUAGCUAAUACCGCAUACCAUCGGAUGUGCCCAGAUGGGAUUAGCUUGUAGGUGAGGUAACGGCUCACCUAGGCAACGAUCCCUAGCUGGUCUGGGAGGAUGACCGGCAACACUGGAACUGAGAAACGGUCCCGACUCCUAAGGUAGGUAGCAGUGGGGAAUAUUGCACAAUGGGCGCGAGCCUGAUGCAGCCAUGCCGAGUGUAUGAAGAAGGCCUUCGAGUUUGAAAGUACUUUCAGCGGGGAGGCGUUACCCGCAGAAGAAGCAACGGCUAACUCCGUGCCAGCAGCCGCGGUAAUAC